rnacentral:rRNA from 1 species
GAUGAACGCUAGCUACAGGCUUAACACAUGCAAGUCGAGGGACCGGCGCACGGGUGAGUAACACGUAUCCAACCUGCCCUUUACUCGGGGAUAGCCUUUCGAAAGAAAGAUUAAUACCCGAUAUAAAGGAUGGGGAUGCGUUCCAUUAGGUUGUUGGUGAGGUAACGGCCCACCAAGCCUUCGAUGGAUAGGGGUUCUGAGAGUAACGGCCCGCGCAGUGGAACUGGGACACGGUUCAAACUCCUACGGGAGGCAGCAGUGAGGAAUAUUGGUAAAUGGGCGCUGGCCUGAGCCAGCCAAGUAGCGUGAAGGAUGAAGGCUUAUGGGUCGUAAACUUCUUUUAUAUAAGAAUAUGUAUUAUAUGAAUAAGGAUCGGCUAACUCCGUGGCAGCAGCCGCGGUAAUUC